GAUGAACGCUGACAGAAUGCUUAACACAUGCAAGUCCACUUGAAUUUGGGUUUUUAACUUAGGUUUGGGUGGCGGACGGGUGAGUAACGCGUAAAGAACUUGCCUCACAGCUAGGGACAACAUUUGGAAACGAAUGCUAAUACCUAAUAUUAUGAUAAUAGGGCAUCCUAUAAUUAUGAAAGCUAUAAGCGCUGUGAGAGAGCUUUGCGUCCCAUUAGCUAGUUGGAGAGGUAACGGCUCACCAAGGCGAUGAUGGGUAGCCGGCCUGAGAGGGUGAUCGGCCACAAGGGGACUGAGACACGGCCCUUACUCAUACGGGAGGCAGCAGUGGGGAAUAUUGGACAAUGGACCGAGAGUCUGAUCCAGCAAUUCUGUGUGCACGAUGAAGUUUUUCGGAAUGUAAAGUGCUUGCAGUUGGGAAGAAACAAAUGACGGUACCAACAGAAGAAGUGACGGCUAAAUACGUG
rnacentral:rRNA from 1 species